AUGCUGAUUGUCAGUUCCCUGAUGAUUAGUGAUGUUGGACACAUUUUAAACAAAUAUUUGACCAUUUAUAUAUCUUUGAGGAAAUGUCUAGUCAAGUCCUUUUUCCACUUUUAAAUAAAUAUUUUUACUUUUUCUAUUGAGUUGCCGGAGUUUUUAUAUAUAUUGGAGAUUCACCUCUUAUCAGACAUGGUUUGUGAAUAAUUUUUGUUCAACCCCAUAGGUAACUGUUUUGCUCUGUAGAUUGUUUCAUUUGCUGUGAAGAAGCUCUUUGGGAAGACAUAGUCUCAGUUGUCUCCUUUUUCUUUUGUUGGCUGUGCUUUUAAAAUCAUAUCCAUGAAUCAGUCAUCACCAAGGGCAAGGGCAAGAAACUCCUCUCCUGUCUUAUCCUAGGAGUGUCACAUUUUUAAACUGAUGUUGAGGUCUUGAAUCCAUGUCCAGUUGAUUUGGUGUAUGGCAUAAGCUGAAGGUCCAGUGUCAUUAAUUUGCAAGUGGAUAUCCAGUUUUCCAACAACCAUUUGUUGCAGACACUCUUCUUUCCCUUGUCUAUUCUUGAUGCCCUUGACAAAGAACAGUCGAGUGGUUAUGCAUGUGUUUAUUUCUGAUCUCUCUGUUAUGUUCCAUUGGUUUAUAUGUCUACAUUAAUAAUGAAGAGUUAUAUCAGGAAAAUAUUUUGAAGUUGGAUAUUUUUU
rnacentral:lncRNA from 1 species